rnacentral:snRNA from 1 species
GUGUAUGCAGCACAUACACUAAAAAAUUGGGACUGUAUAGAGAUUAGCAUGGCCCUGCCCAAAAUGACAUAUUCAUGAAGCGUUCCAUGUUUUU